CUUCACCGAUCCCAGCCACAGCGGCUGGUCGGCGGGUCGACCCCGCCCGUACGUCGCGAGCAGCGCCUGCGCCUC
rnacentral:antisense_RNA from 1 species